rnacentral:rRNA from 1 species
CAGCAGCCACGGUAAUACAGAGGGUGCGAGCGUUAAUCGGAUUUACUGGGCGUAAAGCGUGCGUAGGCGGCUUCUUAAGUCGGAUGUGAAAUCCCUGAGCUUAACUUAGGAAUUGCAUUCGAUACUGGGAAGCUAGAGUAUGGGAGAGGAUGGUAGAAUUCCAGGUGUAGCGGUGAAAUGCGUAGAGAUCUGGAGGAAUACCGAUGGCGAAGGCAGCCAUCUGGCCUAAUACUGACACUGAGGUACGAAAGCAUGGGGAGCAAACAGGAUUAGAUACCCGUGUAGUCCCUGUCUCUUAUAC